UUAUGAUCACCGAAGCUAAGCAACGUCGAGCCUGGUUAGUACAUUGAUGGCUGACCGCUUGAGAAUACCAGGUGUUGUAAA